rnacentral:rRNA from 1 species
GACGAACGCUGGCGGCGUGCUUAACACAUGCAAGUCGAACGGUGAAAGCGGAGCUUGCUCCGCUGGAUCAGUGGCGAACGGGUGAGUAACACGUGGGCAACCUGCCCCUCACUUCGGGAUAACUCCGGGAAACCGGGGCUAAUACCGGAUAUGACCUCCUUGGGCAUCCUUGGAGGUGGAAAGUUUUUCGGUGAGGGAUGGGCCCGCGGCCUAUCAGCUUGUUGGUGAGGUAGUGGCUCACCAAGGCGACGACGGGUAGACAGCCUGAGAGGGCGAGCGGCCACACUGGGAGUUGGACACGGCCCAGACUCCUACGGGAGGCAGCAGUGGGGAAUAUUGCGCAAGGGGCGAAAGCCUGACGCAGCAACGCCGCGUGCGGGAUGACGGCCUUCGGGUUGUAAACCGCUUUCAGCAGGGAAGAAGCCGCAAGGUGACGGUACCUGCAGAAGAAGCACCGGCUAACUACGUGCCAGCCGCCGCAGUAA